rnacentral:rRNA from 1 species
UACGUAGGGGGCGAGCGUUGUCCGGAAUCAUUGGGCGUAAAGCGCGUGUAGGCGGUUCGGUAAGUCUGCUGUGAAAGUCCAGGGCUCGAACCCUGGGAUGCCGGUGGAUACUGCCGGAACUAGAGUGCGGAAGAGGCGAGUGGAAUUCCCGGUGUAGCGGUGAAAUGCGCAGAUAUCGGGAGGAACACCAAUUGCGAAGGCAGCUCGCUGGGACGUUACUGACGCUGAGACGCGAAAGCGUGGGGAGCAAACAGG